UAGGGAUGGUCUUGCGGACCAUUAGCUUGUUGGCGGGGUAACGGCCCACCAAGGCUGCGAUGGUUAGCCGGCUUAAGAGGGUGAUCGGCCACAUUGGGACUGAGAGACGGCCCAGACUCCUACGGGAGGCAGCAGUAGGGAACUUUGCGCAAUGGACGAAAGUCUGACGCAGCAACGCCGCGUGAGCGAUGAAGGUUUUCGGAUUGUAAAGCUCUGUUGAGUGGGAAGAAAACUCUCCGGGAUAAUACCCCGGAGACUUGACGGUACCACUCGAGGAAGCCCCGGCUAAAUACGUGCCAGCAGCCGCGGUAAUACGUAUGGGGCAAGCGUUGUUCGGAAUCACUGGGCGUAAAGGGAGUGUAGGCGGAAAGGUAAGUUAGAAGUGUAAUCCACGGGCUUAACCCGUGACUCGCUUUUAAUACUGCUUUUCUUGAGUAUGGGAGAGGGAGAUGGAAUUCCAGGUGUAGCGGUGGAAUGCGUAGAUAUCUGGAAGAACACCAGUAGCGAAGGCGGUCUCUUGGCCCAAUACUGACGCUGAGGCUCGAAAGCGUGGGGAGCGAACAGGAUUAGAUACCCUGGUAGUCCACGCCGUAAACGUAUGGACACUAGAUGUUGGCCUCUUCGGUGGUCGGUGUCGUAGCUAACGCGUUAGGUGUCCCGCCUGGGAAGUACGCUCGCAAGAGUGUAACUCAAAGGAAUUGACUGGGGCCCGCACAAGCGGUGGAGCAUGUGCUUUAAUUCGAUGCAACGCGAAGAACCUUACCUGGACUUGACAUGGGGGUGAAAGUUUUCAGAGAUGAAAACCCUUCCUUCGGGAACGCCCUACACAGGUGCUGCAUGGUUAUCGUCAGCUCGUGUCGUGAGAUGUUGGGUUAAGUCCCGCAACGAGCGCAACCCUUGUCCUUAGUUGCCAACGGGUCAUGCCGGGAACUCUAGGGAGACUGCCUGGUACAACCAGGAGGAAGGUGGGGAUGACGUCAAAUCAUCAUGGCCCUUACGUCCAGGGCUAGACACGUGCUACAAUGGCCGGUACAGAGGGCUGCAAGACUGCGAAGUCAAGCCAAUCCCUAAAAACCGGUCUCAGUUCGGAUUGGAGUCUGCAAUUCGACUCCAUGAAGGUGGAAUCGCUAGUAAUCGCGGAUCAGCAUGCCG
rnacentral:rRNA from 1 species